AAGUCGUAACAAGGUUUCCGUAGGUGAACCUGCGGAAGGAUCAUUAACGAGUUUUGAAAGGGGUUGUCGCUGGCCUUUCACAAGGCAUGUGCACGCUCUGCUCAUCCACUCAUUUCAACCUCUGUGCACUUAUUGUAGGCUUGGGUGACCGCAGGUCUUGCUCUCUGGAGCUUGACUUUGGAAGCCUUUGCUUAUGUUUUCACUAUAAACGCUUUAGUAUUUGAAUGUCAUCUUGCGUGUAACGCAUCUUUAUACAACUUUCAGCAACGGAUCUCUUGGCUCUC
rnacentral:misc_RNA from 1 species